CUGCAGUUCAUGGUGGUGAACCUUAUAAUAGUGUGGAGAAUGAAUUUUGAGACAGCAUGCUGAAAGCCUGGUCAAAGUGACACUUAAGGCGAAGGGGUUCUUUGAGAGCAGUGGGCAUGUUUUUUGUUGGCUUGGUUUUUGUAGAUGCUAGAUUUGACGAGUAUUAGCUCCACUCGCUGUACUCAAUGCCAUGCCUCACCUCACUCAAAGUGAGAGUUAAAGCUUAAUGGGUUUAUCCACAAGCAGGAUUCUGUUGUAUUCCGGCUUUAGGAUGUUAUGUUGGAUUUGACUUGUUUUGCUUCCAUUCCUGAAGUCCAUGUCAAAUCCUUGUGAAGACCUGAAAGUCAAAUGAAUUCUGUUGGAGGCACAUUUGUUGCUGGCUUUGAUUUUACCAGCUAUGUUGCAAUGUGUUGCAUUCAGUUCCAACUUGUUUACUGUCUCUCAACUCCUUUAUGCGGAGCCUUGUAAAUACUUUGGAAAAUGGGCGGGACAUGUUGAUUUUUCCAUUUUCUUUUGACA